GGAGGGGAGGAAAAGUAACGAAGAGAAACGAAAGACUCCUCCGCGAUGGCGAUGCAACGCUGCUCGAGACUAUGAUUGCGCGAUUGCGGAAAUCUCAAAUGGAGAAACAUUCUUCUGAAACAUUAAUUAUUUUCAUAAAAUCUCCACAAGCUCCCGCAAUUCGGAAGCCGGGCGAGGAUGAAAAAUCAAGUAAGAUGAGAGUUACGACGUGGCCAAAAAUAAGGAAGCCCGCACAGCAACGUAAAAAGUACAUUCCCCGAUUCCACCGAGGAAGAAAGGAAGCAACAGGAGAGAGAGUCAUCAAAUCCUUAUAUUGUAAAGGACGAUCGAAUUCAAACUCGUCAAAGAAUUCACGAACGCAGACAAAAGUCAAAGGGCCGAUGUAACGGGCCGGAAUAUAUUUUGUGUAUCUUCUGUGCGGGAAGAGCGCCGACGAUUCGCUCUGUCAAUCCUUGUACAGCAGCAAAGCCUGAAGACGAUGCGCGGGCCUCUUUUUACGCAUAGGUAGGAGACUACAAAGUGCGCGCGUCAGGCCAGAUGUCGGUCGAGCGGUCGUCUUUAUGGCUGUCAAGUCGUACGUGGACCACGACGACGACGACGACGACGAGAACGACGGACGGAUAGCGAAAAGGAGGACUACGACAAAUGCAAACGAAAGGAUAAAUGGAAUCUACGGUGACGCAAAACGUCGCGUCGUCACGUCGGCACUACCGUAUCGUCUGUUUCCUCGACUUAUACAUAUAUGCCAAUCGAUGAUUUCUAAGAAAUAUAGACGAGUUGAAAGGAAAUAAUGGCGAUUUAUCGUGAAAUAAUAUAAGUAGGACGUAAGUAAGAAAAAAAUUAUGUAGUAAAAGUUCUUUUGCAUAAUUAUAUGAUCUUACACUUUUUUUUUCUUCGUCUUGCGUAAGAUGACAAUUAAUAAUAUGACUGAUUAAAACGAAAGAAAGAAAGAAAAGAUACAAGAGAUUGAAUGUAUAUGUGCUUUCGCCAACGUGGGUCUAUUAAAGAAGCGAAAUAAAUGGAGAUAAUGUAUUUUUCCGCUUACUAUUUUAUACAGCCACUAUUAUAUUGUUAAUAAUACUGAUUCAUGUAUUUAUACGUCGCAACCAUUGAAACAUGUAAAUAUCCGUGAUACACGAAAAAUGCAAUUCCAUCAUGGAAUGUUAAAAGAAAUAACAUACACAUACAUUUUUUAAAAAUAUUAAUUAGACUUUGACAAACUCUUUAUUUCAAUGUAAGAUGAAAAAUAUAAUAAAAAUAAAAAAGCAAGGAAUAAGAAAUAAAUAAAAUUCUAGACUAUUUUUUAAUAAUAAAAGAAUGCAUGUCCGAUAUGAAUUCAUUGCAGUCAAUGUUUAUUUUAAAGAUGAAUAGAAUCUACAAAUAUUUAAUGAGUUACACUGAAUAAAUUAUUAAAAAUGUACAAUUUUAAGAAAAUACAUAAGAAGGCACAUAUCUUUGCGGAGUUUAUGAAAUUUCAUCACAAAGGCGAGGAGAGGAGAGCGAAACAUCGUGUGAACCGGAUCCUACGUCGCCGCCAGCUGUCAAGCCGAGAUGUCAUAUCUUCUCUCAUCUCGUAUACAGCCCUAAUGUCUUCCCGCGGUAUCGCACGAGACACACCGAAUGACAAAGACGGUACUUUUAAACGGUACUACAUCAUGCAGUUUUGGUACAAUUCAUACAUUCGUCAUAGUUGAA